GCCCACUGCCCUGAGGACUUCUUCAUAGUCAGGCUGUAUGCUGAGCUGGAGUCAGUAUCACACAGGUCCCAGCACAGACAUGAAGACCCCCACUCAGCACCUGGGGUUCCUGCUGCUCUGGUUAAUAGGUGCCAGAUGUGAUAUCCAGAUGACCCAGUCUCCAGGGUUGCUGUCUGCAUCUGUGGGAGAAACUGUCACCAUCACAUGCCAGUCAAGUCAGGACAUUUACAGUAAUUUAGCAUGGCAUCAGCAGAAACCAGGAGAAUCACCUAAGCUUUUGAUCUAUUCUGCAACCAGCUUGGCUGAUGGGACCCCAUCGAGGUUCAGUGGGAGUGGAUCUGGUACACAGUAUUCUCUCAAGAUCACCAACCUGCAGCCUGAAGAUAUGGCAAAUUAUUACUGUCAACAGCAUGAUACCUAUCCUCCCACAGUGAUUCAAGCCAUGACAUAA